rnacentral:rRNA from 1 species
AGGAACCUGCCUCAAAGAGGGGGACAACAGUUGCAUUCGACUGCUAAUACCGCAUAAGCCCACGGCUCGGCAUCGAGCAGAGGGAAAAGGAGCAAUCCGCUUCAGGAUGGACUCGCGUCCAAUUAGCUAGUUGGUGAGGUAACGGCCCACCAAGGCGACGAUUGGUAGCCGGACUGAGAGGUUGAACGGCCACAUUGGGACUGAGACACGGCCCAGACUCCUACGGGAGGCAGCAGUGGGGGAUAUUGCACAAUGGGGGAAACCCUGAUGCAGCGACGCCGCGUGGAGGAAGAAGGUUUUCGGAUUGUAAACUCCUGUCGUUAGGGACGAUAAUGACGGUACCUAACAAGAAAGCACCGGCUAACUACGUGCCAGCAGCCGCGGUAAAACGUAGGGUGCAAGCGUUGUCCGGAAUUACUGGGUGUAAAGGGAGCGCAGGCGGACCGGCAAGUUGGAAGUGAAAACUAUGGGCUCAACCCAUAAAUUGCUUUCAAAACUGCUGGCCUUGAGUAGUGCAGAGGUAGGUGGAAUUCCCGGUGUAGCGGUGGAAUGCGUAGAUAUCGGGAGGAACACCAGUGGCGAAGGCGACCUACUGGGCACCAACUGACGCUGAGGCUCGAAAGCAUGGGUAGCAAACAGGAUUAGAU